rnacentral:rRNA from 1 species
GAUACCCUAUUAUCCUAGGUUAACUUCCCUAAGGUAGUAGUUGUUAUGAACUUGAAACCUAAAGAAUAUGGCGGUGUUUAAUUUAAUCAGAGGAACCUGUUUAUUAAUAGAUAAUCCCCUCUAUCUCUUUCUUAGAACCAGUUUGUAUACCGUCAUCUCUUCUAAUCUUAUCAGAGAUUAUUUGGCCUGGUAGGACAUAUAAGUUAGAUCAAGGUGCAGCUUUUUUAAGAUCAAAAUGGGUUACAAUUAGAACCAGAGUGAAUAUCUUUUGUUAAAUAGGUUGAAAUAGGAUUUGAAAGUAAUGUUAGUUUAGUAAGCUAGGAUGAGUCUAUUCUAAAACAUGUACACAUCGCC